CGACGCCGGCUGGCCGCCGACGGCCCUUCAAGGGCCGAGGAAACUCCGCCCUCCCCGCGGCACCGGGGCCCCGAAAGGGGGCACGGGUAAGACCCGUGGCAACGGCACAGAAACGACACGUCCACCGGCAGAUGGCGAUGAAGGGGUGAGGGCCCGCGGGCAACCGCGGGCCAGCUAACCCCCCGAGGACGCUGGUGGGAGCGGUGAAACGGCCGCCCUCCGGGGAGCAAGGCGGCGCGCCGAUGAGGGCCGCGCGAAUGGCGCGCCGAAAGCCGCUUAGUCAAAUGCGGCCGAAGGUACAGAAGGCGGGUUAUAGCCGGCGUCG
rnacentral:RNase_P_RNA from 1 species